GCCUCGGCGGCGCAAUUGGUUAGCACUGGUUGUUUCAUACAACAGGUUUGGGGUUCGAUCCCCUACCGGGGCU